rnacentral:rRNA from 1 species
UGGGGAAUUUUGGACAAUGGGCGCAAGCCUGAUCCAGCCAUGCCGCGUGCGGGAAGAAGGCCUUCGGGUUGUAAACCGCUUUUGGCAGGGAAGAAAAGGUUCUGGUUAAUACCUGGGACUCAUGACGGUACCUGAAGAAUAAGCACCGGCUAACUACGUGCCAGCAGCCGCGGUAAUACGUAGGGUGCAAGCGUUAAUCGGAAUUACUGGGCGUAAAGCGUGCGCAGGCGGUUAUGCAAGACAGAGGUGAAAUCCCCGGGCUCAACCUGGGAACUGCCUUUGUGACUGCAUAGCUAGAGUACGGUAGAGGGGGAUGGAAUUCCGCGUGUAGCAGUGAAAUGCGUAGAUAUGCGGAGGAACACCGAUGGCGAAGGCAAUCCCCUGGACCUGUACUGACGCUCAUGCACGAAAGCGUGGGGAGCAAACAGG